GAUGAACGCUGGCGGCGUGCUUAACACAUGCAAGUCGAACGGAAAGGCCCUGCUUUUGUGGGGUGCUCGAGUGGCGAACGGGUGAGUAACACGUGAGUAUCCUGCCCUUGACUUUGGGAUAACUUCAGGAAACUGGGGCUAAUACCGGCUAGGAGCUCCUGCUGCAUGGUGGGGGUUGGAAAGUUUCGGCGGUUGGGGAUGGACUCGCGGCUUAUCAGCUUGUUGGUGGGGUAGUGGCUUACCCAGGCUUUGACGGGUAGCCGGCCUGAGAGGGUGACCGGCCACAUGGCGACUAAGGGAGGGCCCAGACGCCUACGGGAGGCAGCAGUGGGGAGUAUUGCACAGUGAGCGGAAGCCUGAGGCGGCAACGCCGCGUGCGGAAUGACGGCCUUCGGGGUGUAAACCGCUUUCGCCUGUGACGAAGCGUGAUUGACGGUAAUGGGUAAAUAAGCACCGGCUAACUACGUG
rnacentral:rRNA from 1 species